CCAGCUGCAAAUGUUUACUGCCUUUGACAACGGGCUUAUGGCUCCUGCAGGCUUUCUUAAUGUCCAUCUCGGUAGUGUUAACGCAGCCUGGCUAUAAAAAGAUAAAAAAAGAAGUACCAUUAAACCACGGAACACAUGGCAGCAUGUUCUACUGGUCCAAAUAAAAUAAUAUUUACCAUUGGUCUAUGCACGUCCCAGAAGGCUCUUUCUUGGCUGUCAAGAACUUUUCUUUCAAGUUUGUCCCUCUUCUUGUCAACCUUACUCUGCGCCUCCGCCUGCAUGAAGAUGAACUCCCACUUCCUGGAGAACAUCUUCUGCAACCGUGCCAAAUUCUCUGCCUCGUAAUCCGCCAGCUCCAGGCGUGUUUUGUUCUGCAUUGUUCUCUUGCAUAAAUACACGGCUGCGUAUAGAAAAAUUCAAGUACCAUAAUCAGUGUUCUCAGGCUCCCAGCAGUUAGAUGGCCAAAAGUAGGGCGUUUGAAAUCUGUAGAACGUGUUGUCAUUCUUGACUGUGAGGCAGUGGUCGUCUAUUGGGAAGAAGUAUCCGUGUGCCGCCAUUAAAUGCGCCACGUGAAGAGCCUCUGUUGUAAAAUUCAUUAAAUAUAAUUAUCAUUGAUCAUUAUAUCAAUAUUUUAUAGGGUCUACCAUAUAUAGUAUGGUAGACCCAUAUAGUACCAUAAUAGUACCUUGGUCUUCGAUAUCCAUAUUCUUCAUCAUCCAAGAAAUGAGAUCGGUCCCUGGAAAAUGAUAUUUAUAUGAAUUACAAUAUACUUGACGACAUCUUAAAAUCAGCAAUUAAACUUAGAUAAUCACCUGUAAAGACCGAAGGGAUUUUUGUCAUGAAACUUUUAACAGUCUUCACUGGAACACCUGUAACUUCAUCCAACAUCUUUUCCACUAUUGAUUCCAUCUGCAAAAAAGUGAAAAGCUUAUAAUAUACGACAGUUAAUAUUUUAAGGAGUCUCAAUGGCACUGUACGUAAUUUAUGGAUUGGAAACUGCUGGUACCAAGUACAGAUGAAGACCUGAGAGUACUUUCGGAGUCAAAGAGAAACGAUUCGUAAAACGAAAUGCGUUCGUCACAAUACCGAUCGAUAUGCGGUGCCAAGUACACGUGAACACGCAUUAGUCUCCACGUGUAAAUCGUGGAACUAAACUUUCAAAAUGCCUCUCUGGCAUGCCGUUCGUCGAUUUCCUGCAAGGAAACGUUAAGAAAAGGCAACAUCGACAUAAAUCAAAAAGGCAAAAUUCACAAGAAUCUGAGAAGGACUGUUCUAUUCCUGCUACCAGGAACCCGUUGACGCGGUUCAAUUAACUAUCUAAUGAGAAAUGGCCGCAGCUUCGUCUUGACAUUCCUAAUUCGUUUGGUAGACUCCGAGGAGUAACGAACUAGGAAGCUUCCGUAGCAAUCGAUCUUAGCUUCCGGCGUAACCUGACACUAUAAAAGGGCAUCGAGAGUGAGCGAGUAAGAUUCUGGAAAAAUGUCGGCCAAGGGUCAAACUGGCUUUCAUCGUGAAAUGAUAGCAAUUCCCAUUAGGUUGAAGUAUUAAGAAAAAGAAAUAGAAGCCUGAGAAAAUUGGAAGAUCAGCAAUAAAAGCCAUAAAAGUUAUAGUAACAACAGCACUUAAAAGCAAAUUUACCUUGUUAGUCAAAAUAGUAACUUAUUAUAAAUCUUAUCCAGAAUACUCCAACAUAGAAAUACAAGAAACACAUUGACUUGCAUCGGAAGUUUUGCAAGUAAAGGUACAGUCAUGGAGGAUGAAGAAGAUGGAAAAACAGUAAAAUAUGCUUCAUGUGAUAUUCAUACAUAAGUUGUAUCUUUAUUUUUUAAAAAUCAGCUUUUCCACCAUAAAGGAUUUAAAAAAGUAACCCACCUUCUUGUAGACGAGGUAGUUUGGUGUAUCCUCAGCACACGAAGCUGUCGUGGUGGCGUUUGCAGGCUGAUCGACCGAUUCUUGGCGAUGAUACGGC